rnacentral:rRNA from 1 species
UAAGUAAGAUGUGAAAUAGUUGGGCUCAACCCGACUGCUAUAUUUUAAACUGACAAACUUGAGUAUAUGAGAGGUGCCUAGAAUUCCUAGUGUAGGAGUGAAAUCCGUAGAUAUUAGGAGGAAUACCAAUGGCGUAGGCAGGGUACUGGCAUAUUACUGACACUGAGGCACGAAAGCGUGGGUAGCGAACGGGAUUAGAUACCCCGGUAGUCCACGCCGUAAACGAUGGAUGCUA